rnacentral:rRNA from 1 species
AUUGAACGCUGGCGGCAGGCCUAACACAUGCAAGUCGAGCGGAUGAGAGGAGCUUGCUCCUUGAUUUAGCGGCGGACGGGUGAGUAAUGCCUAGGAAUCUGCCUGGUAGUGGGGGAUAACGUUCCGAAAGGAACGCUAAUACCGCAUACGUCCUACGGGAGAAAGCAGGGGACCUUCGGGCCUUGCGCUAUCAGAUGAGCCUAGGUCGGAUUAGCUAGUUGGUGAGGUAAUGGCUCACCAAGGCGACGAUCCGUAACUGGUCUGAGAGGAUGAUCAGUCACACUGGAACUGAGACACGGUCCAGACUCCUACGGGAGGCAGCAGUGGGGAAUAUUGGACAAUGGGCGAAAGCCUGAUCCAGCCAUGCCGCGUGUGUGAAGAAGGUCUUCGGAUUGUAAAGCACUUUAAGUUGGGAGGAAGGGCAUUAACCUAAUACGUUAGUGUUUUGACGUUACCGACAGAAUAAGCACCGGCCAACUUCGUGCCAGCCGCCGCCGUAAGAC